UGGAUUGAGUCCAAUCUUUUACUGGUCCCAGGUGAACUUGAUAAACAUAUGGUCCAUUGUGAAGGGAUCUUGUUUUGCGCUUGAUAUGAAACUUUACUGAUGGCACUGUCAGGGCUGGAGGUACAUUACUGUUGGUCAGCUCUCCAUCGCAAGAAAAAACAUGCAGAGGUUAGUUCCAUAUUGGUCAGCACUGACAAUAUUUUUUUUGUUUCUGCAUAUUUCUUCCAUGCAUGUGAUGUUAGUUCUAUUUAAUUUAUCAACAAAUCCCAUUGACAUCUAAAUUAAAACACAUUCAAUAUGUGGAAUUGUAUAGAUGGAUUUUUAAGAGAAGAGAUGCAA